CAGGGGCUGAAGUGAAUUUCAUUCUUUGUCCUUUUUUCUCACCUUUUAAAGAAGAUGGAGAAGGUUUUGUCGCUCCUGGUGUUACUCGCCAUCUCGCCCUGUGCCCGGUCCCAAAUCCAGCUGGUCCAGUCCGGGUCCGGCGUGGUGAAGCCCGGAGAGCCCCUAACACUGACCUGCACUGUGUCUGGUUACUCCAUUUCUUCUGGCUACGACUGGGCUUGGAUCCGGCAGGCUCCUGGGAAAGGCUUGGAAUAUAUGGGGCACAUAUACGGGCCUAGCCAGGGCACCAGCUACGCCCCGGCUUUCCAGAGCCGAAUCACCAUCGCCGCAGACACCGCCAGGAACCAGUUCUCGCUGCAGCUCCGCUCGCUGACAGCUGCAGACACCGGCACCUAUUACUGCGCCAGACACACACCCGGGGAGACUCUCACGCUGAGCUGCACUGUCUCGGGUUACACCAUCACCAGUGGUUACGGCUGGCACUGGGUCCGGCAGCCCCCAGGGACAGGGCUGGAGUGGCUGGGACGGGGAUAUUACAGCGGUUCCACGUGGAACACGAACUGCGCCUCCUCCUUCCAGAGCCGAAUCACCAUCUCCACUGACUCCUCCAAGAACCAGUUCUCCCUGCAGCUCCGCGCGCUGACAGCUGCAGACACCACCGUGUAUUACUGCGCCAGAGACACAGUGACACAGAGCAGAGCAGGGACCGGACAAAAAGGGGAAGCGGAGCCUACAUAG